ACUCCAGCAUUCUAACAGACCAGUAGAGGCCAGAGGAACUAUGAUGAGAAAUUGUAUCCCGCAUACAAGGAGGGUUUGCUGAGCCAGAGCAGGAUCAAGCCACAGGAGAAACAGACUGGAUCAGGGUGGUUAUUUUCAAAACACUUCUAAGGGCAGUACUGUACUACUCCCUGCCGGGUGGCACUCUCAAAAUGUAUCAUUGGGCAAUAACACCAUUGUUACUAGACACUAGUAAACAAGGACAGAGCAGCAAACUACUUCAAACAGUAGGGGACAGUCAGGAUCAGCAGUGACACAGUGACUGACUGAAGCAGAGGACCUCCGGAAAGAGGUGGACUAAAGCUCAUUUCACAUGGAGAUGUGCAUAAGCUUUUGGAGGCCAGAGGUGGAGUUAUGGUUUACAUCUAGAUGUCCCUCAAGAGCCUCGUUUGUUUGCAAGCAGAAAUUUUGGAAGAAGAUUGGACCAUGGAGUGCUAAAGAUUGACCCCAGAGCCUCACACAUACUAUGGAAGAACUCAACCACUGAGCUACAUCUCCAGCAUAGCAGUACUUUCUUGAUGGAGUUGUUUUAAACAUAAAAUGAAGUCAUGCAGAAAUAA